rnacentral:rRNA from 1 species
UAGGGAAUAUUGGACAAUGGGGGCAACCCUGAUCCAGCCAUGCCGCGUGAGUGAAGAAGGCCCUCGGGUUGUAAAGCUCUUUUGUCCGGAAAGAAAAGCAUUCGGUGAAUACCCGGAUGUUCUGACGGUACCGGAAGAAUAAGCACCGGCUAACUUCGUGCCAGCAGCCGCGGUAAUACGAAGGGUGCAAGCGUUACUCGGAAUUACUGGGCGUAAAGCGUGCGUAGGUGGUCGUUUAAGUCUGAUGUGAAAGCCCUGGGCUCAACCUGGGAAUGGCAUUGGAAACUGGGCAGCUAGAGUGCGGUAGAGGGUAGUGGAAUUCCCGGUGUAGCAGUGAAAUGCGUAGAGAUCGGGAGGAACAUCUGUGGCGAAGGCGACUGCCUGGACCAGCACUGACACUGAGGCACGAAAGCGUGGGGAGCAAACA